UUUUUGCAGCUUGAUCUUGACUACCAUGUGUCUGCAAUACAAGCCAGCCUUAAUUGCGUGCGUAUGCAUCCACCUGGCAUGCAAAUGGACCGGUUGGAAAAUCAAUCCCUGUUCCCGAGGCAAAGAGUGGUAUUCCUAUCUUGAUCCGACGGCAACAUUAGACACCAUUGAAACUCUCUCACAGGAUUUUCUUACCAUUUUUGAAACCAGUGACGCCAAGUUCGUUAAAAGGUUCAA